AAAGGUAUAGCUCAGUGGUAGAGUUCCUGCCUGGCAUGUGCAAGGUCCUGGGUUCAGUCCUCAGUGCCUCUA
rnacentral:tRNA from 1 species